AUAUCAAUAAGCGGAGGAAAAGAAACCAACAGGGAUUGCCUCAGUAACGGCGAGUGAAGCGGCAACAGCUCAAAUUUGAAAUCUGGCUCCUUCGGAGUCCGAGUUGUAAUUUGUAGAAGAUGCUUCGAGUGUGGUUCCGGUCUAAGUUCCUUGGAACAGGACGUCACAGAGGGUGAGAAUCCCGUACGUGGCUGGAGGCCUACGCUCAUGUGAAGCUCUUUCGACGAGUCGAGUUGUUUGGGAAUGCAGCUCUAAAUGGGUGGUAAAUUUCAUCUAAAGCUAAAUAUUGGCCAGAGACCGAUAGCGCACAAGUA
rnacentral:rRNA from 1 species